AUAAAUGUACAGUUAACAGGAUAAUGAGGAAUCCUCAUCCUCCAGCAAUCUGGGACAAAGCAGCCCCGUGACCCCGCCGGGACGAAGCGGGCCGGCGAGGGGCCCGGGUGGACGGCGGCGGCGGGUGGACGGAGACGCCCGGCGGCCCCGGAGGACAGACAUGAAAGAGGAAGGCUGCACGGAGGCAGAGAUGAGAGGGAUGCAGAUAACUCCUCAUGCAACAUUGAUGAGGAGGCUGAAGUAAGCCCCCCCCCCCACUCCUCCCACCUCCUCCCCCAUCUCCCUGGUGUGAAGUGGUGCAGACACACGCUCCAACCACAGACUGGGCCGAGCGAGGAGGAUCCUGAGGCGUGUGGGAAAGUCCCAGGCACCACUUCAGUCGACCGGCAGCCAACUGUUUCCCGUCCCUCCUCGGGCCUCGGGGUUGGACCGCGCUGUCAAGACCGCAUCCGUGACAUCCUGCAUGCUGCAGUAUGAAUGGAUCCCCGCUCCGGGUGGCGUCUCCACAGCGCUGCUGGGACCCCCCGUGGACACGCUCCUCCGCCGGAGCAGCGAACGCCUUAUGAGCAGCGCGGAGGUGGAUCAAAACACGCGAGCUCGCUCCGACGGCUCCGCUGUUGUGUUCCAACACAACGGUAUCAGUGCAACCCGCUCUCCUCCUCUCCUCCUGCAGACUGGCAGGAGGUCAGCGUCAGGCCGAUCCCCGGCCGCCCCACAAGGAGCUGCUGUCAACAAGCAACGCGCAUAGUCGCAACACCGGGGGCAACACAGUGGCACGCUGAGGUCGGGGGAAAUCACUCAAGCCAGCGCUGACCCCGCAGCCCGGCUGGAGGAGACGGGGGCGUCACGGUUGGGGCCUCCUAACGAGAUGCUGCGGCUCCUGGUCCGUUGUCACGCGUGGAGCUUCCUCUGUUCAUUAACACCAACUGGUCUGAAUGAAUUCACAGGGAGCUAAAAAAUAAAGCUUUCGCUCGAAAGUCA
rnacentral:lncRNA from 1 species